GUGGUCGUAGCUCAAUUGGUUAGAGCAUCGCGCUGUGGCCGCGAAGGUUGCGCGUUCGAGCCGCGUCGACCACCCCC
rnacentral:tRNA from 1 species